rnacentral:rRNA from 1 species
UACGUAGGGUGCAAGCGUUGUCCGGAAUUAUUGGGCGUAAAGAGCUCGUAGGCGGCUCGUCGCGUCGGCUGUGAAAACCUGGGGCUCAACCCCGGGCCUGCAGCCGAUACGGGCGAGCUAGAAUUCGGUAGGGGAGACUGGAAUUCCUGGUGUAGCGGUGAAAUGCGCAGAUAUCAGGAGGAACACCGGUGGCGAAGGCGGGUCUCUGGGCCAUUACUGACACUGAGAAGCGAAAGCAUGGGGAGCGAACAGG